rnacentral:rRNA from 1 species
AGCGAACGCUGGCGGCGUGCUUAACACAUGCAAGUCGAGUGCGCGGUUCGUAGCAAUACGAACUGGCGCACGGCGCACGGGUGAGGAACACGUGGGCAACAUGCCCUCCGAUGGGGAAUAACCCGCUGAAAGGCGGGCUAAUACCGCAUACGAUUCCGGGGACCUCGGUUCCUGGACUGAAAGCCCGCAAGGGCGUCGGUGGAGUGGCCCGCGGCCGAUUAGCUUGUUGGCGGGGAACGGCCCACCAAGGCAAUGAUCGGUAGCCGGUCUGAGAGGAUGAUCGGCCACACUGGAACUGAGACACGGUCCAGACUCCUACGGGAGGCAGCAGUGGGGAAUCUUGCGCAAUGGGCGAAAGCCUGACGCAGCGACGCCGCGUGGGGAUGAAGCCUUUCGGGGCGUAAACCCCUUUCGACCCGGACGAAAUGCCCGCAAGGGAAUUGACGGUACGGGUAUAAG